GAUGAACGCUGGCGGCGUGCCUAAUACAUGCAAGUCGAGCGAACAGACGAGGAGCUUGCUCCUCUGACGUUAGCGGCGGACGGGUGAGUAACACGUGGAUAACCUACCUAUAAGACUGGGAUAACUUCGGGAAACCGGAGCUAAUACCGGAUAAUAUAUUGAACCGCAUGGUUCAAUAGUGAAAGACGGUUUUGCUGUCACUUAUAGAUGGAUCCGCGCCGCAUUAGCUAGUUGGUAAGGUAACGGCUUACCAAGGCAACGAUGCGUAGCCGACCUGAGAGGGUGAUCGGCCACACUGGAACUGAGACACGGUCCAGACUCCUACGGGAGGCAGCAGUAGGGAAUCUUCCGCAAUGGGCGAAAGCCUGACGGAGCAACGCCGCGUGAGUGAUGAAGGUCUUCGGAUCGUAAAACUCUGUUAUUAGGGAAGAACAAAUGUGUAAGUAACUAUGCACGUCUUGACGGUACCUAAUCAGAAAGCCACGGCUAACUGCGU
rnacentral:rRNA from 1 species